rnacentral:rRNA from 1 species
GAUGAACGCUGGCGGCGUGCCUAAUACAUGCAAGUCGAGCGAACGGACGAGAUGCUUGCUUCUAUGAUGUUAGCGGCGGACGGGUGAGUAACACGUGGGUAACCUACCUAUAAGAGUGGGAUAACUUCGGGAAACGAGAGCUAAUACCGGAUAAAAUUUUUAAACACAUGGUUUAAGAGUGAAAGACGGUCUUGCUUUCACUUAUAGAUAGAUCCGCUCUGCUUGAGUUAGUUGGUAAGGUAACGGCUUACCAGGGAAAGGACCCAUAGCCGACCUGAGGGGGUGCUCGGCCACUCGGGAACGGAGACACGCCCCAGACCCCCACGGGAGGACGCAGUGGGAACUCUGCCGAAAGAGGCGAGACCCUGAGGGAGAAACGCCGCGUGAGUGAUGAGGUUUUUGGGCUCGUAAAUCUCUGUGAUUAGGGAAGAACAGAUGUGUAAGUAACUGUCAUCAUCUGGACGGUACCAAAUAAAAAAGCACCGGCAAAUUACUU